GGGGGUUAAAAAAAAAAGUCGACGUGCAUGAAAACCAGCCGCGUAGUUAUGAGGGAGGCCGUCCUCACACCGAUCUUCCUCGUCGUCAUCGUCCUCAAUGUCCUCCGGUUCAACCAAAGCUACCCCAGCCUUAGCUGCAAUGUUGUGCAACAUAGAGCUGUCACACACAUUUUUUGCCAUAAUAAACUUUAAGCUUAACAUUUAAAUUAAACCUGUUUAAAGUAAAUACAUCAUAUAUUAUAUUCAUCCAUAUUCAUUAAAUACAACAUAAACCAGUUCAAUAGGAAAUUAAAUCUGAUUUAUUCACAUUAAGUCUAUUUAAUCGUUUCACUGGAAUUCAUUGGAUCCACCUGAAGCCACUCUUUCAUUCCUGAACCAGCAGACCUCGUGCUCAUGAAUGGACCGAGUUUGGUUUUCUCUCUUUGGAUUUACUUUGUGAAAACCAGGGCAACCUCUUAAUAGUUUGUGUGAAUGUGGGAGUGUGGGCGUUAUUCUUGUAAUUUAGUGCUCUUCAGAUCAACAGUUGCCUCUGGAUCAAUCUCAAUCUCCACACACACACACACACAGGAGAUUGUACUAAUUUGUACAACUGUCAAUAAAUGUAUUUGUUUUUUAUUUAUUUUCCAAAUUCCUUUCCAGGCUCCUUGUUGUCAUAAUAAAUAUGGAUAAUUGCUCUAAUGUAUGUCCUACCUUCUUAUUUAUUCACAAAAUGAUAUUUAACUUGUGUUUUUGUAAACAGUGAU
ensembl:lncRNA